CCUCGGGCCGCUACCCCAGCGGCCGCCUCAGCGCAGGGCUCCCCUCGGCGCGGGCCGGGCAGCUAAUGGAGAGCGCGGGCUGGCGUGAUGGGAAAAAGGCGGGAACGUGACAGAGCCACCCUGUGGCAGCGCUCCUCAGCGGGCAUCGGCUCCGGAGCAGCCCCGGCCUCGACCGCGGAGCCCUCCCUUCGCACCUCCGGAGCCCGGCUGGGCGGGAGGAGCCUCUUUCACCGCGUUGUCAGAGCGCGGCUCCGUGUGGCGUGAGGAGAGCCCCCAUGACGGCAGCGGCUGGGCAGAGCUUUCCUAUUUCUCCCCCUACUAUGAGGGUCAGAGGGGUUUUGUUUGAUUAUUUUAGUAGAACAGUUGUCAGUCAGGUUGUCCCAAUACUAUGGCUAUUUUCCCACAGUAGCACCCACAGGUUGAAAACCCAGACAGCCCUCAAAGGUGAGUUUAUUUUGUGGGUUUGGGCGGCCCGUCCAAAGGAGUAAUUCCAGACAGACACUCUAUAUGUUUUCCUAGAGCAAUGUAAUGACUUUUGCUCUGUACUUGCAGGUUUGCUCGCCUUUCGCCAAGUGAAAAGCAGCUCUAAGGGCCAUCUGCCAGGGAGGAGACCGGCUUUAUCCACAUGCUGUGGUAACCUCUGCUGGCUGAGCCUCGCUGUUACACCGGGUGAGACGUGCUACGAGGAGUAAGCUUGCAGGCUGACACAAGAAGUUGAGCAGACAAACAGAUAUCAGAAGAGGCGAAACAGCAGACCACAGCAACAAACAUGCUUCUGUCUGAAUGCACCCUGAGAACUCUUGUUUAAGGCAUGUACUUCUCGGCUACUAAGAACCUUGAUUUCUAAGAAGAAACCUGUGGCCAUAUGACUGCCUCGAAAAUCGAAAACAUCAUGCAGACAAUAUGCAUGUUGCUACAAGUCAGAUUUAUUUGAGCAAAAAUAGUAGAUAGAACUGUCUGUUUAAUUAGACAUGGAUCAAAAAUGAAGAACUAAGUACUUUCCCAUCACUCCCUGCAGGUUUUGAAGUUGGCAUUUUUCCCCCUCUGCAUUUAGUUACUUGUUUGCCUUGGGUUGUAAAGAAAUGCAGAGGGCUGUUAUUAAAGCACCAAUAAUCUGCUGAACUCCAUCUUUUGUGGAACUUGCUGAGUUAGAAAAUUCCUUUUCACCUCCUCCCCCACCUCUGCUUGAUUAGAAUAACUAAAGAACAAAUAUCACAUUAUGGUGCUAGGUAAAAUGAUCUAGUGUGUUUGCAGUUUAAGUGACUAGCACAAGACAGAACAAAUCCUAAACCCUGUCCAGCUAAUUGACAAGGGAAAAAAGCAUUUGCUUUUUAAAAGCAUAUCAGAACAGAGGCUUAUGUUUAGGAUUUGCUGUGCUCAGUGCUUUAUAUUCAGAAAUUGAUUCCUAAUAUAGUUUGUUAGAAAGUUCUCCAAGCAAUUAGAGCCUGAACACAUACAGGAGAGUGAAGAAUUGACACUACAACAAGUAAGAUUCUGAGGCUGCAGAAACAAUGAUCCCAUCAACUAUUUAGUGCUGGCCUCAAGCCAGAAGUCUGCUUUUACCUUUUUAGAACUCCAGCCCAUCACAAUAAGAAUUUUUAUCCAAUUCUCCAUGUACCAUCCCAAAGGAGCAGUACAACAGGUUCUUUCAAGACCAGUGGCUCAAGUUUAAACUCAGCAAAGAUGGCAGCUACUGCUUUGCUCUUCUGCCAUAGGUUAGUUUCCAAAGUGGUACAGGUAAAUAUGAUACCUGUUCCUUAUCAGAUGCCAGCUGCUACCAUUUUUCACUAGCCUUAAUAUUUUUGUAAACUACAGAAAUCAAGGAAUACAUAAGCUAUUCAGUUAUCCCCAGCAUUGACCUCUGCAGAUAAAGUGCUCUCAUUAAAUCUGCUGCCAAACACAAGCCAACAACCUGAAUCUCUUAUCCGACAACCACAGAAUCACCAGGCCUUUUUGCAAGAGAGAUGGACAUCACUUAAACCACACAGAAGUCUUACCAGGCAGUACAGAUUUGACAUUUCCCACCAUAUCUUCACAACAUGAAGCAAUCAUUUGUUUUCCUUUCCCUGAUCAAUCCACUUUUGCAAAGGGCCAGAUCUUUCUGUGCACCAUUGAGAGAAGCAUGCUCUUUUCUUAGAUUGAAAUGAAAUAGAUUUCCUCUUUGCCUCUACUUGCCUGUCUUUAUUACACAUAUUCAAGUUAGUGGCCCUCUCUGCUCCACUGCAUUCUUCAAACUUGCAAUUUGGUACAGUUGCCUUGUAGUUCAAGGAGAGACAUGAGAACAGGCAGUAGUUUGGAAACACAGAUACAUUUUUAAUGAUUCAACAUAUAACAGACACUAGUUGAACAGCUCAACAGGGAGGGAAGAUGCAGUUUCUGUUCCAUUGAAUGGACAAUGAUCACAAUGCACUUCUGAUCACAUCCUGUUUUUCUAGGCCAGGAAUUCCCACUAACAUUACCUAAAUUAGGUUGGUUCUUAUGAUUUAUUACAAUUACUGCUUCAAGCAGUGGUAUCACCUGCUAAGGAAUUAAUACCAAGUUGGAAAAGAAAGCAAGAGCAAGCCAUCAGUAUCUUGAUCUCAUCAGUAGUGGUGCAAAAACAUGAAGUGCUGGAAUACUUCUCAGCAGGAAUAACAUAAUAGACCAACCUGAUGGCCUUCCCUGAGGAAAACAGUUAGGAAGUGCUGGAACAGGGGUGAAGAACGCUUAACACUGAAAAGAGAAGUAACCUCUGCUACCCUCUGAAGACAGCAUUUCACACUGCAUCUUCACACUGUAUCAUGUCUGCUGCAGCAAGUUGCCAUAGGAUGGCAGCAAAGGGGAGACAGAUUUUCAGCUGGGUAAACUGCUAAUGCUAAAGCUUUUAAGCUUUUGGAAAAACAAGAUUUUCAAGAGAAUCUGCUGAUGGAACCAUUAUCUCACUUGAUUACUUCUGGGAAAGAACAAAGAAAACAAUGCAAGUAGAUUUUAUCAGAUGGCUGUAACGCUACUUCUUGUUUGUAUCAUAUGUAACUGCAAUAGUAUUCUACAGAUCUUUUUUGCACCACUGUGUUUGGUUUUUUAUCUGUUUUUUUGGGGGGUUGUGUGUAUUUGGUUUAGGUUUAUUUGUUUUAAGCUUCUGUACAUUGUUUUAUUUGAGUUAGGGAAUGGGAAGUCAGUUUAAACAAGCAAACACAAAGCCACAAAGUCAAAAUCACAGAGGAGACGGAUGGGGUAAAAACAAGAGAAAUGAGGCUCUGCAUAUUGAAAAGAACAGCCCAGUUUUGUCUGGCACUUGGACUUUGCCAGUGACUUGCAGGGGGAGCACAAAUUUAGUCAACAUUCUACAGGUUCUCUACCAAUCUUCUCUGUGUUGCCU